GACGAACGCUGGCGGCGUGCUUAACACAUGCAAGUCGAACGGAAAGGCCCCUUUGGGGGUACUCGAGUGGCGAACGGGUGCGUAACACUUGAGUAACCUGCCCUUGACUUCGGGAUAACUUCAGGAAACUGGGGCUAAUACCGGAUAGGAAUCCUUGCUGCAUGGUGGGGGUUGGAAAGCUUCGGCGGUUUUGGAUGGACUCGCGGCUUAUCAGCUUGUUGGUGGGGUAGUGGCUUACCAAGGCUUUGACGGGUAGCCGGCCUGAGAGGGCGACCGGCCACAUUGGGACUGAGAUACGGCCCAGACUCCUACGGGAGGCAGCAGUGGGGAAUAUUGCACAAGGGGCGGAAGCCUGAUGCAGCAACGCCGCGUGCGGGAUGACGGCCUUCGGGUUGUAAACCGCUUUCAGCAGGGGCGAAGCUUGUGGUGACGGUACCUGCAGAAGAAGCACCGGCUAACUACGUG
rnacentral:rRNA from 1 species